UACGUAGGGAGCAAGCGUUGUCCGGAAUCAUUGGGCGUAAAGCGCGCGUAGGUGGCCAUGUAAGUCCGUUGUGAAAGUCAAAGGCUCAACCUUUGAAAGCCGAUGGAUACUGCAUGGCUAGAGUACGGAAGAGGCGAGUGGAAUUCCUGGUGUAGCGGUGGAAUGCGCAGAUAUCAGGAGGAACACCAAUAGCGAAGGCAGCUCGCUGGGACGUUACUGACACUGAGGCGCGGAAGCGUGGGGAGCGAACAGG
rnacentral:rRNA from 1 species